rnacentral:rRNA from 1 species
UACGUAGGAGGCGAGCGUUAUCCGGAUUUACUGGGCGUAAAGCGGGUGUAGGCGGCCUUUCAAGUCGGAUGUAAAAUCUCCCGGCUCAACUGGGAGGGACCAUUCGAUACUGUUGGGCUAGAGGGCAGCAGAGGGAGGUGGAAUUCCCGGUGUAGUGGUGACAUGCGUAGAUAUCGGGAGGAACACCAGUGGCGAAGGCGGCCUCCUAGGCUGUUUCUGACGCUGAGAUCCGAAAGCGUGGGGAGCAAACAGGAUUAGAUACCCGCGUA